GACGAACGCUGGCGGCGUGCCUAAUACAUGCAAGUCGAGCGAAGCGGCGGUUGGGUGAGUAACGCCUGGGUAACCUGCCCUUCAGUCUGGGAUACCAUUUGGAAACAGAUGCUGAUACCGGAUACUAACGGAUGGACCUGCGAUGCAUUAGCUAGUUGGUAAGGUAACGGCUUACCAAGGCGAUGAUGCCUAGCCGAGUUGAGAGACUGAUCGGCCACACUGGGACUGAGACACGGCCCAAACUCCUACGGGAGGCAGCAGUAGGGAAUCUUCCACAAUGGACGAAAGUCUGAUGGAGCAACGCCGCGUGAGUGAAGAAGGUUUUCGGAUCGUAAAGCUCUGUUGUUGGGGAAGCGGUAAUCAACCAGAAAGUCACGGCUAACUACGUGCCAGCCGCCGCGGUAAUAC
rnacentral:rRNA from 1 species